rnacentral:rRNA from 1 species
AUAAUGGGUCAGCGACUUAUAUUCUGUAGCAAGGUUAACCGAAUAGGGGAGCCGAAGGGAAACCGAGUCUUAACUGGGCGUUAAGUUGCAGGGUAUAGACCCGAAACCCGGUGAUCUAGCCAUGGGCAGGUUGAAGGUUGGGUAACACUAACUGGAGGACCGAACCGACUAAUGUUGAAAAAUUAGCGGAUGACUUGUGGCUGGGGGUGAAAGGCCAAUCAAACCGGGAGAUAGCUGGUUCUCCCCGAAAGCUAUUUAGGUAGCGCCUCGUGAAUUCAUCUCCGGGGGUAGAGCACUGUUUCGGCAAGGGGGUCAUCCCGACUUACCAACCCGAUGCAAACUGCGAAUACCGGAGAAUGUUAUCACGGGAGACACACGGCGGGUGCUAACGUCCGUCGUGAAGAGGGAAACAACCCAGACCGCCAGCUAAGGUCCCAAAGUCAUGGUUAAGUGGGAAACGAUGUGGGAAGGCCCAGACAGCCAGGAUGUUGGCUUAGAAGCAGCCAUCAUUUAAAGAAAGCGUAAUAGCUCACUGGUCGAGUCGGCCUGCGCGGAAGAUGUAACGGGGCUAAACCAUGCACCGAAGCUGCGGCAGCGACGCUUAUGCGUUGUUGGGUAGGGGAGCGUUCUGUAAGCCUGUGAAGGUGUACUGUGAGGUAUGCUGGAGGUAUCAGAAGUGCGAAUGCUGACAUAAGUAACGAUAAAGCGGGUGAAAAGCCCGCUCGCCGGAAGACCAAGGGUUCCUGUCCAACGUUAAUCGGGGCAGGGUGAGUCGACCCCUAAGGCGAGGCCGAAAGGCGUAGUCGAUGGGAAACAGGUUAAUAUUCCUGUACUUGGUGUUACUGCGAAGGGGGGACGGAGAAGGCUAUGUUGGCCGGGCGACGGUUGUCCCGGUUUAAGCGUGUAGGCUGGUUUUCCAGGCAAAUCCGGAAAAUCAAGGCUGAGGCGUGAUGACGAGGCACUACGGUGCUGAAGCAACAAAUGCCCUGCUUCCAGGAAAAGCCUCUAAGCAUCAGGUAACAUCAAAUCGUACCCCAAACCGACACAGGUGGUCAGGUAGAGAAUACCAAGGCGCUUGAGAGAACUCGGGUGAAGGAACUAGGCAAAAUGGUGCCGUAACUUCGGGAGAAGGCACGCUGAUAUGUAGGUGAAGUCCCUCGCGGAUGGAGCUGAAAUCAGUCGAAGAUACCAGCUGGCUGCAACUGUUUAUUAAAAACACAGCACUGUGCAAACACGAAAGUGGACGUAUACGGUGUGACGCCUGCCCGGUGCCGGAAGGUUAAUUGAUGGGGUCAGCGCAAGCGAAGCUCUUGAUCGAAGCCCCGGUAAACGGCGGCCGUAACUAUAACGGUCCUAAGGUAGCGAAAUUCCUUGUCGGGUAAGUUCCGACCUGCACGAAUGGCGUAAUGAUGGCCAGGCUGUCUCCACCCGAGACUCAGUGAAAUUGAACUCGCUGUGAAGAUGCAGUGUACCCGCGGCAAGACGGAAAGACCCCGUGAACCUUUACUAUAGCUUGACACUGAACAUUGAGCCUUGAUGUGUAGGAUAGGUGGGAGGCUUUGAAGUGUGGACGCCAGUCUGCAUGGAGCCGACCUUGAAAUACCACCCUUUAAUGUUUGAUGUUCUAACGUUGACCCGUAAUCCGGGUUGCGGACAGUGUCUGGUGGGUAGUUUGACUGGGGCGGUCUCCUCCUAAAGAGUAACGGAGGAGCACGAAGGUUGGCUAAUCCUGGUCGGACAUCAGGAGGUUAGUGCAAUGGCAUAAGCCAGCUUGACUGCGAGCGUGACGGCGCGAGCAGGUGCGAAAGCAGGUCAUAGUGAUCCGGUGGUUCUGAAUGGAAGGGCCAUCGCUCAACGGAUAAAAGGUACUCCGGGGAUAACAGGCUGAUACCGCCCAAGAGUUCAUAUCGACGGCGGUGUUUGGCACCUCGAUGUCGGCUCAUCACAUCCUGGGGCUGAAGUAGGUCCCAAGGGUAUGGCUGUUCGCCAUUUAAAGUGGUACGCGAGCUGGGUUUAGAACGUCGUGAGACAGUUCGGUCCCUAUCUGCCGUGGGCGCUGGAGAACUGAGGGGGGCUGCUCCUAGUACGAGAGGACCGGAGUGGACGCAUCACUGGUGUUCGGGUUGUCAUGCCAAUGGCACUGCCCGGUAGCUAAAUGCGGAAGAGAUAAGUGCUGAAAGCAUCUAAGCACGAAACUUGCCCCGAGAUGAGUUCUCCCUGACUCCUUGAGAGUCCUGAAGGAACGUUGAAGACGACGACGUUGAUAGGCCGGGUGUGUAAGCGCAGCGAUGCGUUGAGCUAACCGGUACUAAUGAACCGUGAGG